AGUGAACGCUGGCGGUAGGCCUAACACAUGCAAGUCGAACGGCAGCACAGUAAUAGCUUGCUCUUACGGGUGGCGAGUGGCGGACGGGUGAGGAAUACAUCGGAAUCUACUUUUUCGUGGGGGAUAACGUAGGGAAACUUACGCUAAUACCGCAUACGACCUACGGGUGAAAGCAGGGGAUCUUCGGACCUUGCGCGAUUGAAUGAGCCGAUGUCGGAUUAGCUAGUUGGCGGGGUAAAGGCCCACCAAGGCGACGAUCCGUAGCUGGUCUGAGAGGAUGAUUCGCCACCUUGGAACUGAGAAACGGUCCAGACUCCUACGGGAGGCCGCAGUGGGGAAUAUUGGACAAUGGGGGAAAGCCGGAUCCAGCCAUACCGGGUGGGUGCAGAGGGACUCCGGGUUGUAAAGCCAUUUUGUUGGGAAAGAAAAGCAGCAGGUUAAUACCCCGCUGUUCUGACGGUACCCAAAGAAUAAGCCCCGGCUAACUUCGUG
rnacentral:rRNA from 1 species